UACAGAGGGUGCAAGCGUUAAUCGGAUUUACUGGGCGUAAAGUGCGCGUAGGUGGCCAAUUAAGUCAAAUGUGAAAUCCCCGAGCUUAACUUGGGAAUUGCAUUCGAUACUGGUUGGCUAGAGUAUGGGAGAGGAUGGUAGAAUUCCAGGUGUAGCGGUGAAAUGCGUAGAGAUCUGGAGGAAUACCGAUGGCGAAGGCAGCCAUCUGGCCUAAUACUGACACUGAGGUGCGAAAGCAUGGGGAGCAAACAGG
rnacentral:rRNA from 1 species